AAGUUAGUUAUUGGUGUGCGCUUUCGUGUGCAUGCACACUUCUUCAGAAGAAGUGUGCAUGCACACGAAAGUUCAUACCAAUAACUAACUU